AUUGCUUCUGGGCCUUUUGGUGAAGAUCAAGUGUAGUAUCUGUUCUUAUCAGUUUGAUAAUGUUUUAUUCAGCAAUACUCUAUGAGAUUAUGUAUAUAUAUAUAUAUAUAUAUGAAAAUGACUAUAC
rnacentral:snRNA from 1 species